UCGGGAAUUUUGGGCAAUGGGCGAAAGCCUGACCCAGCAACGCCGCGUGAAGGAUGAAGUAUUUCGGUAUGUAAACUUCGAAAGAAUAGGAAGAAUAAAUGACGGUACUAUUUAUAAGGUCCGGCUAACUACGUGCCAGCAGCCGCGGUAAUACGUAGGGACCAAGCGUUGUUCGGAUUUACUGGGCGUAAAGGGCGCGUAGGCGGCAAUUCAAGUCAUCUGUGAAAUCUCCGGGCUUAACUCGGAACGGUCAGAUGAUACUGCUUUGCUAGAGUGCAGAAGGGGCAAUCGGAAUUCUUGGUGUAGCGGUGAAAUGCGUAGAUAUCAAGAGGAACACCUGAGGUGAAGACGGGUUGCUGGGCUGACACUGACGCUGAGGCGCGAAAGCCAGGGGAGCAAACGGGAUUAGAUACCCAGGUAGUCCCUGAGCGGGC
rnacentral:rRNA from 1 species